rnacentral:rRNA from 1 species
AGUGAACGCUGGCGGCAUGCCUAACACAUGCAAGUCGAACGGCAGCACAGCAGUAGCAAUACUGUGGGUGGCGAGUGGCGGACGGGUGAGGAACACAUCGGAAUUUGCCCAGGUCGUGGGGGAUAACGUAGGGAAACUUACGCUAAUACCGCAUACGACCUUACGGUGAAAGCGGGGGAUCGCAAGACCUCGCGCGGAUGGAUGAGCCGAUGUCGGAUUAGCUAGUUGGCGGGGUAAAGGCCUACCAAGGCGACGAUCCGUAGCUGGUCUGAGAGGAUGAUCAGCCACACUGGGACUGAGACACGGCCCAGACUCCUACGGGAGGCAGCAGUGGGGAAUAUUGGACAAUGGGGGCAACCCUGAUCCAGCAAUGCCGCGUGUGUGAAGAAGGCCUUCGGGUUGUAAAGCACUUUUAUCCGGAACGAAACGUGCGGGGUGAAUAGCCUCGUAAACUGACGGUACCGGAGGAAUAAGCACCGGCUAACUUCGUG